GCCCCAAAGAAGUCAAACGAUCUGAUAAACCGUGUAGGUCUUAGGAGAGGUGACGAAGAGACCCUGUCAAGCCUAGGGAAAGAGGGGCCAUGCAUGCCGCACGAACGACCAGAAAACGACCUGAUGGGACGCCCCACCGACUGCCCGCCAGAGCCGCCCAGGCGUCCCAAAUAGGUGGUCAUUCUUAAGGCAGAAUGUUACCUGCAGGUGAUGGACCUCCUCUACCUGCUUCUUUAUACCUUCUGCGCACAGGGAGAUGCCUCCCUUCAGGCUUCUGGACAGUCCGCUGUCAGAACUAGAGAAAGGCCUUCUUUAGAAGUGACGUGACUGGUAACCACAGUGGAAAGGGACAGCUCCUGCUCACUUGUCCCUCCCGGGUUUUCCAUUCACGUUAAAUACAUUUGUUGAGCACCUGCAAUGCAAACACUUUUGUUUUUAGUUUAUUUAUUUAUUUUGAGAGAGAGAGA